UAGUGGUUAGAGGAGACAGGUAGUCUAGUGGUUAGAGGAGGCAGGUAGUCUAGUGGUUAGAGGAGACAGGUAGCCUAGUGGUUAGAGGAGGCAGGUAGUCUAGUGGUUAUAGGAGGCAGGUAGUCUAGUGGUUAGAGGAGACAGGUAGUCUAGUGGUUAGAGGAGGCAGGUAGUCUAGUGGUUAGAGGAGACAGGUAGCCUAGUGGUUAGAGGAGGCAGGUAGCCUAGUGGUUAGAGGAGGCAGGUAGUCUAGUGGUUAGAGGAGACAGGUAGCCUAGUGGUUAGAGGAGGCAGGUAGUCUAGUGGUUAGAGGAGGCAGGUAGCCUAGUGGUUAGAGGAGGCAGGUAGCCUUGUGGUUAGAGGAGGCAGGUAGCCUAGUGGUUAGAGGAGGCAGGUAGCCUAGUGGUUAGAGGAGGCAGGUAGCCUAGUGGUUAGAGGAGACAGGUAGCCUAGUGGUUAGAGGAGGCAGGUAGCCUAGUGGUUAGAGGAGGCAGGUAGCCUAGUGGUUAGAGGAGACAGGUAGCCUAGUGGUUAGAGGAGACAGGUAGCCUAGUGGUUAGAGGAGACAGGUAGCCUAGUGGUUAGAGGAGACAGGUAGCCUAGUGGUUAGAGGAGGCAGGUAGCCUAGUGGUUAGAGGAGGCAGGUAGCCUAGUGGUUAGAGGAGGCAGGUAGCCUAGUGGUUAGAGGAGGCAGGUAGCCUAGUGGUUAGAGGAGGCAGGUAGCCUAGUGGUUAGAGGAGGCAGGUAGCCUAGUGGUUAGAGGAGGCAGGUAGCCUAGUGGUUAGAGGAGACAGGUAGCCUAGUGGUUAGAGGAGGCAGGUAGCCUAGUGGUUAGAGGAGGCAGGUAGCCUAGUGGUUAGAGGAGGCAGGUAGCCUAGUAG